rnacentral:rRNA from 1 species
AACGAACGCUGGCGGCGCGCCUAACACAUGCAAGUCGAACGCGAAAGUGUAGCAAUACAUGAGUAAAGUGGCGCACGGGUGAGUAACGCGUAGGUGAUCUACCUUUGUGAUCGGGAUAACCAGUCGAAAGAUUGGCUAAUACCGGAUAGAGCGAUUUAGUUGUAGAGACUGAAUUGGGAAAGGGAGGCUGUAGUAAUACAGCUUUUGCACUGAGAUGAGCCUGCGUCUCAUUAGCUAGUUGGUGAGGUAACGGCUCACCAAGGCGAUGAUGGGUAGCUGGGCUGAGAGGACGAUCAGCCACACUGGAACUGAAACACGGUCCAGACUCCUACGGGAGGUAGCAGGGGGGAAUCUUGCGCAAUGGACGAAAGUCUGACGCAGCGACGCCGCGUGGGUGAAGAAGGCCUUCGGGUUGUAAAGCCCUGUCGAAUGGGAAAAAUGAUAUCCGUAAUAAUACGACGGGUAAGUGAUUGUACCAUUAGAGGAAGCACCGGCUAACUCCGUGCCAGCCGCCGCAGUAA